rnacentral:rRNA from 1 species
GACGAACGCUGGCGGCGCGCUUAACACAUGCAAGUCGAACGGAAAGGCCUGCUUUCCCUUGUGGAUUGCGGGUACUCGAGUGGCGAACGGGUGAGUAACACGUGAGUGAUCUGCCCCCAACUUGGGUAUAAGCCUGGGAAACUGGGUCUAAUUCCGGUAGGACUGGCGGGUUGUUCCUGGGGUUGGAAAACGUUUUCUUAGGGUUGGGGAUGAGCUCGCGGCCUAUCAGGUUGGUGGUGGGGUAAUGGCCUACCAAGGCGGCGACGGGUAGCCGGCCUGAGAGGGUGGACGGCCACAUUGGGACUGAGAUACGGCCCAGACUCCUACGGGAGGCAGCAGUGGGGAAUAUUGCACAAUGGGCGGAAGCCUGAUGCAGCGACGCCGCGUGGGGGAUGACGGCCUUCGGGUUGUAAACUCCUUUCGACCGCGAGGAAGCCACCUGGUUGGAAGGGUGGUGACGGUAGUGGUAGAAGAAGCACCGGCUAACUACGUG